rnacentral:rRNA from 1 species
GAGUUUGAUCUUGGCUCAGAAUCAACGCUGGCGGCGUGCCUAACACAUGCAAGUCGAACGCGAAAGCCCUGCAAGGGGUGAGUAGAGUGGCAAACGGGGUGAGUAACACGUGGGUGAUCUGCCUCAGAGUGGGGGAUAACGACCCGAAAGGGUCGCUAAUACCGCAUAACAUCCUGCCUUUGGAUAGGUGGAGAUCAAAGCCGGGGACCGCAAGGCCUGGCGCUUAGAGAGGAGCCCGCGGCCGAUUAGCUAGUUGGUGAGGUAACGGCUCACCAAGGCAACGAUCGGUAUCCGGCCUGAGAGGGCGGACGGACACACUGGGACUGAGACACGGCCCAGACUCCUACGGGAGGCAGCAGUGGGGAAUUGUUCGCAAUGGGCGCAAGCCUGACGACGCAACGCCGCGUGGAGGACGAAGAUUUUCGGAUCGUAAACUCCUUUCGAUCGGGAAGAACAGCUUUGGUUAACAGCCUGAGAGUCUGACGGUACCGAGAGAAGAAGCCCGGCUAACUCUGUGCCAGCAGCCG